GGAUAUGUUAAUUUUUUUAUAUUAUUAUUAUUUUGUAUAUAUGUAUGUCUGUUUGUGGAUGUCUGUGUAUGUGUGGAUGUCUGUGUAUGUGUGGAUGUCUAUGUCUGUUUGUGGAUGUGUGGAUGUUUGUGGAUGUCUGUGGAUGUGUGGAUGUCUGUCUGUGGAUGUGUGGAUGUCUGUGUAUGUGUGGAUGUCUGUGUAUGUGUGGAUGUCUGUUUGUGGAUGUGGGUUUGUGGAUGUGUGGAUGUCUGUUUGUGGAUGUCUGUGGAUGUCUGUGGAUGUCUGUGGAUGUCUGUUUGUGGAUGUCUGUUUGUGGAUGUCUGUUUGUGGAUGUCUGUUUGUGGAUGUCUGUUUGUGGAUGUCUGUUUGUGGAUGUCUGUGGAUGUCUGUUUGUGGAUGUGGAUGUCUGUGUGUGGAUGUCUGUGUGUGUGUGGAUGUCUGUGGAGUGUGGAUGUCUGUGGAUGUGUGGAUGUGUGGAUGUCUGUUUGUGGAUGUCUGUUUGUGGAUGUCUGUGGAUGUGUGGAUGUCUGUGGAUGUGUGGAUGUCUGUUUGUGGAUGUCUGUGGAUGUCUGUGGAUGUAUGUGUGGAUGUCUGUUUGUGGAUGUGUGGAUGUCUGUAUGUCUGUUUGUGGAUGUGUGGAUGUCUGUUUGUGGAUGUGUGGAUGUCUGUAUGUCUGUUUGUGGAUGUGUGGAUGUCUGUUUGUGGAUGUGUGGAUGUCUGUUUGUGGAUGUGUGUAUGUGUGGAUGUCUGUGUAUGUGUGGAUGUCUGUGUAUGUGUGGAUGUCUGUGGAUGUGUGGAUGUCUGUGGAUGUGUGGAUGUCUGUGGAUGUGUGGAUGUCUGUGGAUGUGUGGAUGUCUGUUUGUGGAUGUGUGGAUGUCUGUGGAUGUGUGGAUGUCUGUUUGUGGAUGUGUGGAUGUGGAUGUCUGUGGAUGUGUGGAUGUCUGUUUGUGGAUGUGUGGAUGUGGAUGUCUGU